UCGAACGAGAAAGGGGAGCAAUCCCUGAGUAAAGUGGCGUACGGGUGAGUAACACGUGGGUAAUCUGCCCUUUGGUGGGGAAUAACCCUGGGAAACCGGGGCUAAUACCGCAUAAGUCCGAGAGGAGAAAGCAGCAAUGCGCCGAAGGAGGAGCCCGCGGCCGAUUAGCUAGUUGGUAGGGUAAGAGCCUACCAAGGCAAAGAUCGGUAGCCGGCCUGAGAGGGCACACGGCCACACUGGCACUGAAACACGGGCCAGACUCCUACGGGAGGCAGCAGUGGGGAAUCUUGCACAAUGGGGGAAACCCUGAUGCAGCGACGCCGCGUGAGCGAUGAAGCCCUUCGGGGUGUAAAGCUCUUUCGUCAGGGAAGAUAGUGACGGUACCUGGAGAAGCAGCUGCGGCUAACUACGUGCCAGCAGCCGCGGUAAUACGUAGGCAGCAAGCGUUGUUCGGAGUUACUGGGCGUAAAGGGUGUGUAGGCGGUUCUUUAAGUUUGGUGUGAAAUCUCCCGGCUUAACCGGGAGGGUGCGCCGAAUACUGAGGGACUAGAGUACGGGAGAGGAAAGUGGAAUUCCUGGUGUAGCGGUGAAAUGCGUAGAUAUCAGGAGGAACACCGGUGGGUGUAGACGGCUUUCUGGACCGUAACUGACGCUGAGACACGAAAGCGUGGGUAGCAAACAGGAUUAGAUACCCUGGUAGUCCACGCCCUAACGAUGCAUAUUUGGUGUGGGCAGUUCAUUCUGUCCGUGCCGGAGCUAACGCGUUAAUAUGCCGCCCUGGGGAGUACAGUCGCAAGGCUGA
rnacentral:rRNA from 1 species